GUCUGCUGCCAUACCACCCUGAAUGGGACCCAUCUCAUCUGGCCUCAGAAGCUAAGCAGGUCAAGCCUGGUUAGUACUUGGAUGGGAGAAAGUUAGAAUUGCUCAUC
rnacentral:rRNA from 1 species